CGAACGGUAACAGGAAACAGCUUGCUGUUUCGCUGACGAGUGGCGGACGGGUGAGUAAUGUCUGGGAAACUGCCUGAUGGAGGGGAUAACUACUGGAAACGGUAGCUAAUACCGCAUAACGUCGCAAGACCAAAGAGGGGGACCUUCGGGCCUCUUGCCAUCAGAUGUGCCCAGAUGGGAUUAGCUAGUAGGUGGGGUAACGGCUCACCUAGGCGACGAUCCCUAGCUGGUCUGAGAGGAUGACCAGCCACACUGGAACUGAGACACGGUCCAGACUCCUACGGGAGGCAGCAGUGGGGAAUAUUGCACAAUGGGCGCAAGCCUGAUGCAGCCAUGCCGCGUGUAUGAAGAAGGCCUUCGGGUUGUAAAGUACUUUCAGCGGGGAGGAAGGGAGUAAAGUUAAUACCUUUGCUCAUUGACGUUACCCGCAGAAGAAGCACCGGCUAACUCCGUGCCAGCAGCCGCGGUAAUACGGAGGGUGCAAGCGUUAAUCGGAAUUACUGGGCGUAAAGCGCACGCAGGCGGUUUGUUAAGUCAGAUGUGAAAUCCCCGGGCUCAACCUGGGAACUGCAUCUGAUACUGGCAAGCUUGAGUCUCGUAGAGGGGGGGUAGAAUUCCAGGUGUAGCGGUGAAAUGCGUAGAGAUCUGGAGGAAUACCGGUGGCGAAGGCGGCC
rnacentral:rRNA from 1 species